GAUGAACGCUGGCGGCGUGCCUAAUACAUGCAAGUCGAGCGGCAGCACGGUCUUCGGACUGGUGGCGAGCGGCGGACGGCUGAGUAACGCGUAGGAACGUACCCCAAAGUGAGGGAUAAGCACCGGAAACGGUGUCUAAUACCGCAUGUGAUCUUCGGAUUAAAGCCUUCGGGCGCUUUGGGAGCGGCCUGCGUAAGAUUAGCUAGUUGGUGAGGUAAUGGCUCACCAAGGCGACGAUCUUUAGCUGGUCUGAGAGGAUGAUCAGCCAGACUGGGACUGAGACACGGCCCAGACUCCUACGGGAGGCAGCAGUAGGGAAUUUUCCACAAUGGGCGAAAGCCUGAUGGAGCAACGCCGCGUGCAGGAUGAAGGCCUUCGGGUCGUAAACUGCUUUUAUGAGUGAUGAUUAUGACAGUAGCUCAAGAAUAAGGGUCGGCUAACUACGUGCCAGCCGCCGCCGUAA
rnacentral:rRNA from 1 species